CCUACGGGAGGCAGCAGUGAGGAAUAUUGGACAAUGGGCGAGACCCUGAACCAGCGACGUCGCGUGAGUGACGAAGGUCCUCUGGAUUGUAAACCUCUUUUGCCGGGGAGAAAAGGCGCCCACGGGUGGGCGGAUGAGUGUACCCGAAGAAAAAGCAUCGGCUAGCUCCGUGCCAGCAGCCGCGGUAAUACGGAGGAUGCAAGCGUUAUCCGGAUUUAUUGGGGUAAAGGGGUCCGCAGGCGGACAGUCAAGUCAGAGGUAAAAAUGCGGUGCUCAACGCCGUACAGCCGUUGAAACUGGGAGGCUUGAGUGCGCGAGAAGUAUGCGGAAUGCGUGGUGUAGCGGUGAAAUGCAUAGAUAUCAGGCAGAACUCCGAUGGCGAAGGCAGCAUACCGGCGCCCUACUGACGCUGAGGCACGAAAGCGUGGGUAUCGAACAGGAUUAGAUACCCUUGUAGUC
rnacentral:rRNA from 1 species